GAGGGGUAUAGGUUUUCGGACCUAGAGACCGGCGCACGGGUGCGUAACGCGUAUGCAAUCUACCUUUUACAGAGGGAUAGCCCAGAGAAAUUUGGAUUAAUACCUCAUAGUAUUAUUGAAUGGCAUCAUUUAAUAAUUAAAGUCACAACGGUAAAAGAUGAGCAUGCGUCCCAUUAGCUUGUUGGUAAGGUAACGGCUUACCAAGGCAACGAUGGGUAGGGGUCCUGAGAGGGAGAUCCCCCACACUGGUACUGAGACACGGACCAGACUCCUACGGGAGGCAGCAGUGAGGAAUAUUGGUCAAUGGGCGCAAGCCUGAACCAGCCAUGCCGCGUGCAGGAUGAAGCAUCUAUGGUGUGUAAACUGCUUUUGUACGAGAAGAAACACUCCUUCGUGAAGGAGCUUGACGGUAUCGUAAGAAUAAGGACCGGCUAACUCCGUGCCAGCAGCCGCGGUAAUACGGAGGGUCCAAGCGUUAUCCGGAAUCAUUGGGUUUAAGGGUCCGUAGGCGGUUUUAUAAGUCAGUGGUGAAAGCCCAUCGCUCAACGGUGGAACGGCCAUUGAUACUGCAAGACUUGAAUUAUUAGGAAGUAACUAGAAUAUGUAGUGUAGCGGUGAAAUGCUUAGAGAUUACAUGGAAUACCAAUUGCGAAGGCAGGUUACUACUAAUGGAUUGACGCUGAUGGACGAAAGCGUGGGUAGCGAACAGGAUUAGAUACCCUGGUAGUC
rnacentral:rRNA from 1 species